AAGACUAUAGACCUGCGGAGUACCUGCGGAGGGAUCAUUACAGAGUUGCAAAACUCCAAACCAUUGUGAACUUACCUUUGCCGUUGCUUCGGCGGGCGGCCCGGGUCCCGACCCGGCGCCCCCCGGCCCCGUCAGGGGCGCCCGCCGGAGGUAAACCAAACUCUUGAAUUGUAUGGCCUCUCUGAGUCUUCUGUACUGAAUAAGUCAAAACUUUUAGCAACGGAUCUCUAGAUCGGAAGA
rnacentral:misc_RNA from 1 species